GGUCAAGUUAUUAAGGGUGCAGGGCGGAUGCCUUGGCACUAGGAGCCGAUGAAGGACGUGAUAAGCUGCGAUAAGCUUCGGGGAGUUGCACGUAAACUUUGAUCCGAAGAUUUCCGAAUGAGGAAACUCACUUAGAGUAAUGUCUAAGUAUCAUUAAGUGAAUACAUAGCUUAAUGAGGGGAACUCAGGGAACUGAAACAUCUAAGUACCUGAAGGAAGAGAAAGAAAUUCGAUUCCGUAAGUAGCGGCGAGCGAACGCGGAUUAGCCCAAACCAAUAAAGUUUUCUUUAUUGGGGUUGCGGACAUAUCAUAACGAAGAGGUAUCGUAAUUGAAGAGGUUUGGAAAGACCCACCACAGAAGGUAAUAGUCCUGUAUGUUAAACGAGAAGACUUUAGAUAUGAUCCAGAGUACCACGGGACACGUGAAACCCUGUGGGAAGCAGGAGGGACCACCCUCCAAGGCUAAAUACUACCUAGUGACCGAUAGCGUAUAGUACCGUGAGGGAAAGGUGAAAAGAACCCCGGGAGGGGAGUGAAAUAGAACCUGAAACCCUGCACUUACAAGCUGUGGAAGCACAUUUCUUGUGUGACCGCGUACUUUUUGUAGAACGGGCCAACGAGUUACGUUAAGUAGCAAGGUUAAGCACUUAAGGUGUGGAGCCGUAGCGAAAGCGAGUUUUAACUGAGCGUUCAGUUACUUGACGUAGACCCGAAACCGGGCGACCUACCCAUGAGCAGGAUGAAGCGAAAGUAAAAUUUCGUGGAGGUCCGAACCCACGAGCGUUGAAAAGCUCGGGGAUGACUUGUGGGUAGCGGUGAAAUUCCAAUCGAGCCCGGAGAUAGCUGGUUCUCCCCGAAAUAGCUUUAGGGCUAGCCUCAAGGUGAGAGAUACGGAGGUAGAGCACUGAAUGUCCUAGGGGGUAUUGCACCUACCGAAGACUAUCAAACUCCGAAUGCCGUCAUCUUAUACUUGGGAGUCAGACUGUGGGUGAUAAGAUUCAUAGUCGAAAGGGCAACAGCCCAGAUCGUCAGCUAAGGUCCCUAAAUGUAAGUUAAGUGGUAAAGGAUGUGGGAUUGCACAGACAACCAGGAUGUUGGCUUAGAAGCAGCCACUCAUUCAAAGAGUGCGUAAUAGCUCACUGGUCGAGUGAUCCUGCGCCGAAGAUUUCCGGGGCUAAAACUUACUACCGAAGCUACGGCAUCAGUAAUGAUGGGUAGGGGAGCUUCCCAUACGGGUUGAAGCAUGACCGUAAGGACAUGUGGACAGUAUGGGAGUGAGAAUGUUGGCAUGAGUAGCGAGAUGUGGGUGGGAAUCCCACAGGCCGUAAACCCAAGGUUUCCAGGGGAAGGUUCGUCCGCCCUGGGUUAGUCGGGACCUAAGCUGAGGCCGAAAGGCGUAGGUGAUGGACAACAGGUUGAUAUUCCUGUACUACCGAUAACCAUUUGAGAGAAGGGAUGACACAGUAGGAUAAGCUAAGCACACUGUUGGUUAUGUGUGCCCAAGCAUUGAGGCAGUCAAAGUAGGCAAAUCCGCUUUGAUAAUGCUGGGAUGUGAUGGGGAGCGAAAUUUAGUAGCGAAGUAGCUGAUUUCACACUGUCAAGAAAAGUCUCUAUCGAGGUUAAAGGUACCCGUACCGCAAACCGACACAGGUGGGUGAGGAGAGUAUCCUAAGGCCAGCGAGAGAACUGUUGUUAAGGAACUCGGCAAAAUGACCCCGUAACUUAGGGAUAAGGGGUGCCACCAUCAGGUGGCCGCAGAGAAUAGGCCCAAGCGACUGUUUACCAAAAACAUAGGUUUCUGCUAAGUCGCAAGACGAUGUAUAGGAGCUGACGCCUGCCCGGUGCUGGAAGGUUAAGGGGAUCUGUUAGAGCAAUCGAAGCAGUGAACUUAAGCCCCAGUAAACGGCGGCCGUAACUAUAACGGUCCUAAGGUAGCGAAAUUCCUUGUCGGGUAAGUUCCGACCCGCACGAAAGGCGUAACGAUUUGGGCACUGUCUCAACAACAGACUCGGUGAAAUUGUAAUUCCGGUGAAGAUGCCGGAUACCUGCGACAGGACGGAAAGACCCCAUGGAGCUUUACUGUAGCUUGACAUUGGGUCUUGGUACUACAUGUACAGGAUAGGUGGGAGGCUUUGAAACCAGGACGCCAGUUUUGGCGGAGCCAUCCUUGGGAUACCACCCUUGUAGUACUGGGACUCUAACCAUAGGCCAUGAAUCUGGUCUUGGGACACUGUCAGGUGGGCAGUUUGACUGGGGCGGUCGCCUCCCAAAAGGUAACGGAGGCGCUCAAAGGUUCUCUCAGUACGGUCGGAAAUCGUACGUAGAGUGUAAAGGCAAAAGAGAGCUUGAUUGCAAGACAUACAGGUCGAGCAAGGAUGAAAAUCGGACUUAGUGAUCCGGUGGUUCUGCGUGGAAGGGCCAUCGCUCAACGGAUAAAAGCUACCCUGGGGAUAACAGGCUUAUCUCCCCCAAGAGUCCACAUCGACGGGGAGGUUUGGCACCUCGAUGUCGGCUCAUCACAUCCUGGGGCUGUAGUAGGUCCCAAGGGUUGGGCUGUUCGCCCAUUAAAGUGGUACGCGAGCUGGGUUCAGAACGUCGUGAGACAGUUCGGUCCCUAUCCGUCGCAGGCGUAGGAAAUUUGAGAAGACCUGUCCUUAGUACGAGAGGACCGGGAUGGACGUACCUCUGGUGUACCAGUUGUUCUGCCAAGGGCAUGGCUGGGUAGCUAUGUACGGAAUGGAUAAGCGCUGAAAGCAUCUAAGCGCGAAGCCAACUUCAAGAUAAGAUUUCCCACCGCAAGGGUAAGACCCCAGAAAGACUAUCUGGUUGAUAGGUCGAAGGUGUAAGUGCAGCAAUGUAUUUAGCUUAUCGAUACUAAUAGGUCGAGGACUUGACCAA
rnacentral:rRNA from 1 species